rnacentral:rRNA from 1 species
UACGUAGGGGGCAAGCGUUGUCCGGAUUUAUUGGGCGUAAAGAGCGUGUAGGCGGCCACACAGGUCUGCUGUGAAAACUCGAGGCUCAACCUCGAGCUGUCGGUGGAAACCGUGUGGCUAGAGUCCGGAAGAGGAGAGUGGAAUUCCCGGUGUAGCGGUGAAAUGCGCAGAUAUCGGGAAGAACACCCGUGGCGAAGGCAGCUCUCUGGGACGGUACUGACGCUGAGACGCGAAAGCGUGGGGAGCGAACAGG